rnacentral:ncRNA from 1 species
UCUUAUCUCCGCUAAACAAGACAAUUGUUUUGAGAAAGAAAACUCUAAAGAUAAGAGAUUGGAGUAAGUACUGAUAAUAUUUA